CAUUACGAGAGAGUUGCAAAACUCCCUAAAACCCUUUGUGAACCUCACCCGUUCUAUAGUUUAGUGUCUUCGGCGGGUUGCCCCAGGGGGGGCCUCGUGCCGUCAGGCGCCCGCCAGAGGACACAACCCAAACUCUUUUAUGGCGUCUGCCACUGUUAUCUGAUUAUAUAAAAUAAAUAAAUUAAAACUUUCAACAACGGAUCUCUUGGUUCUGGCAUCGAUGAAGAACGUAGCGAACUACGAUAAGUAAUGUGAAUUGCAGAAUUCAGUGAAUCAUCGAAUCUUUGAACGCACAUUGCGCCCACCAGCACUCUGGUGGGCAUGCCUGUUCGAGCGUCAUUUUCCACCCUCAAGCCCUUACGGGAUUGGUGUUGGGGCUCUUCUACGGCGGGGACCUCCCCCUGUAGGCCCUUAAAGUCAGUGGCGGGCUCGCUAGCACUCCGGGCGUAGUAGCUUUUACACGUCGCCUAGGGGGUCUGGCGGGUGACCAGCCGUAAAACCGCGACUCCGGUUGCACACCUAAGGUUGACCUCGGAUCAGGUAGGAAUACCCGCUGAACUUAAGCAUAUCAAUAAGCGGAGGAAAAGAAACCAACAGGGAUUGCCCUAGUAACGGCGAGUGAAGCGGCAACAGCUCAAAUUUGAAAUCUGGCCCUCUGGGUCCGAGUUGUAAUUUGUAGAGGAUGCUUUUGGCGCGGCGCCUUCCGAGUUCCCUGGAACGGGACGCCAUAGAGGGUGAGAGCCCCGUACGGCUGGAUGCCAAACCUUUGUAAAGCUCCUUCGACGAGUCGAGUAGUUUGGGAAUGCUGCUCAAAAUGGGAGGUAAAUUCCUUCUAAAGCUAAAUACCGGCCAGAGACCGAUAGCGCACAAGUAGAGUGAUCGAAAGAUGAAAAGCACUUUGAAAAGAGGGUUAAAUAGUACGUGAAAUUGUUGAAAGGGAAGCGCCUGUGACCAGACUUGGUCCCGGCGGAUCAUCCGGCGUUCUCCGCCGGUGCACUCCGCCGGGCUCCAGGCCAGCAUCGGUUCUCCCAGGGGGAUAAAAGCCGCGGGA
rnacentral:rRNA from 1 species